AGGGCUCUUCCUGUGUCAUGGCGCCGAAGAACUUUCCCCUCGCACAUUGCACAUUGUACCCUGGCUGGAUACGCUGCUUUCUGUGAACUCUACAAGCUAUAGUCUGUAUUGGAAAUACCCUAGGAGACCCUCAAGCUGCGCAAUGAUAAUAUUCAGAGUGUAAGAAUCAGCACUAAGCAGUGACCACUCAAC
rnacentral:lncRNA from 1 species